CUUCCCCAAGAUUUCUGGACACACCAGGACUGAUAGAACAAGAUUUCAGACUUCUGUUUGGUGAGGCCACAGCCAACAAAUUCUUGGAGAAGUGGCCAACCACUUUCAAAGCAAAAGUAAUAAAGGAAAGCCAUGGACUUGUAUCCACCACAGAACUCUUGGAUUUGAUGCGCAAUGCUGAGUCAGCUGCUGAAGUUGAGAAUGGCUGGGACAGUGACAUGUCUGCCAUCUUGCUGCUGCUACAUUUGCUACCACCAUCUGCACAAGGUAGAAAGAGGCCGGA